UCCCUGGUGGCUCAGACGGUAAAGCGUCUGCCUACAAUGCGGGAGACCCGGGUUCAAUCCCUGGAUCGGGAA
rnacentral:tRNA from 1 species